rnacentral:rRNA from 1 species
CCGGUUGAUCCCGCCAGAGGUUACUGCUAUCGGAGUUCGAUUAAGCCAUGCGAGUCUAAAGGUUUCUUUCGAGAAACCUUGGCGGACUGCUCAGUAACACGUGGAUAACCUACCCUUGGGACUGGAAUAACCCCGGGAAACUGGGGCUAAUACCGGAUAGAUCAGGGAUGCUGGAAUGCACCUUGAUCCAAAGCUCCGGCGCCCAAGGAUGGGUCUGCGGUCUAUCAGGUUGUAGUGGGUGUAACGUACCUACUGGCCGACGACGGGUACGGGUUGUGAGAGCAAGAGCCCGGAGAUGGAUUCUGAGACACGAAUCCAGGCCCUACGGGGUGCAGCAGGCGCGAAAUCUUUACAAUGUGCGAAAGCAUGAUAAGGGAACUCCGAGUGCCAGUAUCUAAUACUGGCUGUCCUUGUGCCUAAAACGCACAAGAUAGCAAGGGCCGGGUAAGACCGGUGCCAGCCGCCGCGGUAACACCGGCGGCCCGAGUGGUAGCCGCUAUUAUUGGGUCUAAAGGGUCCGUAGCCGGUUCGAUAAGUCCUCUGGGAAAUCUGGUUGCUUAACAAUCAGACUGCCAAGGGAUACUGUCGAACUUGAGACCGGGAGAGGUAAGAGGUACUUCAGGGGUAGGAGUGAAAUCUUGUAAUCCCUGGGGGACCAUCUGUGGCGAANGCGUCUUACCAGAACGGGUCUGACGGUGA